rnacentral:rRNA from 1 species
CGCACGCCUGCACUGGUGGAAGCGAUCGCUUACGAUUUCGUGUACCUCCGGUACACGAGCGUGUUGCAGACCCCAUCUGACGGCCAUGAGGAAUCCCUCAGUCUCCGCUCUCAGGCUGCACUUCUCAAGACGGGAAGGUCAGCCUGCACGACAGGUUUCGUCGCGCAGAUGUUUGAGGAACACGGAAUGUAGACUUUUACUCAUGUGUUCCUCCAUGAACCUCGCCUCCUCCGCCCGCCUCACCGUCCGGCCAAGUCCGGCCCUCUCCUCCCCCCCAAAGGAUAGGGCCAUCCUUGACCGAUCGGGAACGAGCUGGUGCAGACCUAGUCUCUCGGCCGCCCUUCUGGCUGCCUUGAAAAGAAAUGCCCCCUUACCCCGAAAUUCGUGUGCUGCUGUGAACUGCAGCAGCGGGUCCUCCCCACGCAGAACACUUUCUGCAAAUCCCAGGACAACCCGAUCGUGAAGACACUCAACUCAGCAACCCUCGGCCUCCCUGCGCACGGGGUAAAUAUAUCCUUUGCACAGAGGACCUCGGGUGCAGACUCCGGUUCAUGUUUAGGGUCUUCCUGGUUGCUCUGUCCAGUUGUUUUAACUCACCGUCGGUCCACCGGACCGAACCGAAUGAGUAGAGCAGGACGGGUACCGCAAGCAUAUUGGUGGCAGCGACUUUGUUGCGGCUGGAUCACCUCCUUUCUA